rnacentral:rRNA from 1 species
UAGGGAAUAUUGGACAAUGGGCGAAAGCCUGACCCAGCAACGCCGCGUGAAGGAUGAAGUAUUUCGGUAUGUAAACUUCGAAAGAAUAGGAAGAAUAAAUGACGGUACUAUUUAUAAGGUCCGGCUAACUACGUGCCAGCAGCCGCGGUAAUACGUAGGGACCAAGCGUUGUUCGGAUUUACUGGGCGUAAAGGGCGCGUAGGCGGCAAUUCAAGUCAUCUGUGAAAUCUCCGGGCUUAACUCGGAACGGUCAGAUGAUACUGCUUUGCUAGAGUGCAGAAGGGGCAAUCGGAAUUCUUGGUGUAGCGGUGAAAUGCGUAGAUAUCAAGAGGAACACCUGAGGUGAAGACGGGUUGCUGGGCUGACACUGACGCUGAGGCGCGAAAGCCAGGGGAGCAAACGGGAUUAGAUACCCAAGUAGUCCCUGAGCGGGCUGGCAAGGCGCAU